GGCGGUAUAGCUCAGCGGAGAGAGCAUCCAGCUUACGUCAGCAUCGCCGUUGCGGUGUUGGGCUGGAAGGGCGCGGGUUCGACCCCCGCUACCGCCA
rnacentral:tRNA from 1 species